GCUGGCAAAGGAGAUGUCCUCAUUAAGAGGCCACCUGUGCUUAAGCAAGGUUUAAUACUAUAACCACGUUGGUAGAAAACAGCGAAGCUCAGCUGGUAGUGAUUGCACAUAAUGAGGAUCCCAUCCAGCUGGUCGUCUUCCUGCCUGCCCUGUGCUGGAAGACGGGGGUGCCCCGCUGCGUUAUCAAGGGGAAGGCCGGGCCGAGGAGUCUGGCCCACAGAAAGAUCUGCACCACUGUCACCUUCACACAACUUAACUCAGAAGGUGAUGGAGCUCUGGCUAAGCUGGUGGAAGCCAUCAAGACCAAUUACAGGGACAGUGAUCUAAUUGCCAGGAUCUGUUCCGGGUAACCUGGUAUUUAAUCAAAAAUGCUAUUUUUGAAACAAAGAAUUCCCAAGUCUCCAGACUUAAGCAACUUCAGACCAGGCUUCAGACUUCUGAAAUGGCAUCCCAUUGAAAGCUGGGCCUGCCCCCUGAAUGAAUGGUUAAGUUGGUGCACUCGGCUUCGGUGGCCCAGGGUUUUACUGGUUGGGAUCCUGGGCGCAGACAAGGAAGAAGAUAGGCAAACAGCAACUGCACAAGGUGGAAGUUCAGCCCUGAGCUAACUGCUGCCCAUCCUCCUCUUUUUGCUGAGGAAGACUG
rnacentral:lncRNA from 1 species